rnacentral:rRNA from 1 species
AGCGAACGCUGGCGGCAGGCUUAACACAUGCAGGUCGAGCGGGCAUAGCAAUAUGUCAGCGGCAGACGGGUGAGUAACGCGUGGGAACGUACCUUUUGGUUCGGAACAACACAGGGAAACUUGUGCUAAUACCGGAUAAGCCCUUACGGGGAAAGAUUUACCGCCGAAAGAUCGGCCCGCGUCUGAUUAGCUAGUUGGUGAGGUAAUGGCUCACCAAGGCGACGAUCAGUAGCUGGUCUGAGAGGAUGAUCAGCCACAUUGGGACUGAGACACGGCCCAAACUCCUACGGGAGGCAGCAGUGGGGAAUAUUGGACAAUGGGCGCAAGCCUGAUCCAGCCAUGCCGCGUGAGUGAUGAAGGCCCUAGGGUUGUAAAGCUCUUUUGUGCGGGAAGAUAGUGACGGUACCGCAAGAAUAAGCCCCGGCUAACUUCGUGCCAGCAGCCGCAGUAA